UGAGUGUUGUAGAUGUUCCUAUUGGUGGGGUUUCUAUUUUGUCUAUAGAUUGUUCGUUCAUUUUCGCGGUUGUUGGAGGAGAGAUUCUAUGUUUUUGGUUGAUUUGCUCCUCAAGAAGAUGGAAAGUUGCUAUUCUAUUAUGCCGUUGGUUGUUGCCGAGACUUUGCUGAGUGCGGAUGAGCUGAAGAAGGAUGCCAAAUCUGAAUAUUUUAAGGGAAGCCCCCUAUUACUGCAGAUCAAUCAACGAUUUGAUUAGGGGACACGUCUUUGAUGAGGAAGUUUUGGAGGCUUCUAAAUGACUUGUGUUUGGGAAGGUGAAGUUAGCUGCUUAUAUUGAAGAUGAAGCUACCUCAAAAGUAGUCAUGAAACUCAUGAGAAUUCCAGGGAUAACUUUACACCACCUAAAGUGCUAUCUUCAGUAAAUACAAAGAUUGAGAAAGAAUAUUCAUGGACAAAUGCCACAUACCUCAAGCGGGGCCAACAAAAAUGAGUUGUCAUGUCAACCUCAGGUGAUAAAAUUCCAGAAACAAGUCCUUCCCGUACCAGCAGUAUCAACAUCGCCUCCCAAAAAAACAACAACUUACAUAUAAAUGAAGCAUUGCAUAUGAAAAUUGAAGUCCAGGGAAGGCUACACGAGCAACUUGAGGUUAUAUACAAUGUGAUGCGUGCCUUCCCUCACUGCUCCGGAACCGAACAUAUGAACAAGUUUUUAGAGCCCCAAACGUUGCCCCUCCGUAGAAAGUCCACAACACAUUCGGAUCCGCCUUAGGUUCAACCAACUAGGAUUUUACUUAAGAUUUUAUGUAUUCGGAUUAGGCUAUAUUAUGUUCUCCCUUGAACACAAUGUAAGUAAAGAAUAUGAUUUUCUAUAUUGUGAUGUAUAUAAUUAUGAGGGCCUAGACUCAUAUUUAUAGGUUAGAAAAUAAGGAGUUUGACUCUUACUAGGAAAAAAAUUACCAACCCUACUAGGAUUGAAAUUCUUAUCCAAUUUAAAUUGUAACUUUAAUUAAAUUCUUAAUUAAACCAAUCCUAGUAGGACUAGGAAAACUAAUACUUAAUCCCAAAGUUACUUGGAAACCAAGUAAUCGAACUUUUCUUGGAUCCCAAGACGAAGCAACCAACGCAGCCACGAUGGGCCACGCUGGUGCGCGUGCCUGUCUAGGCCCAACCGCAGCCGCAGCUGGCUAGAGGCCCAACGCGCUACAGCCUUGCCUUAGCGGGCUUGCUUGCUUGGCGGGAUGCAUCGCUGCCGCUGCCUUGCUUGCUUGGCGGGCUGCAAUGCUGUUGCUGCCUUGCUUUCUUGGCGCGGCCCACUGUGCUUCCAGGCCCAUUGGCUGGGCGCCGGCGCUGGGCUUCGUGCUUAGUGCUCUGCGCUCGACCUUUGCUUGUCGAGCGAUGGGCCGGCUCGCUUGCCGUCUUGUCGCUCCUUGAGCUUCCGAUUCGUUUUCCGAUUCCGGAAUCCAUUUCCGUUUCGAACAAAUGUUUAGGUUUCCGUUAGUAUUUUCGAUUCCGGAAAUAAUUUCCUUUUCCGACAAUAUUUCCGAUUUCGGUAAAAAAUUCCGUUUCCGGCAAUAUUUCCGAUUCCGGCAAUAUUUCUAUUUCCGAUAAUAUUUUUCGAUACGAACCAUGUUUCGGUUUCCGGCAACAUCUACGACUUGGAUAAUAUUUAUGUUUCCGUCAUGAACCAUAUUUCCGUUUCCGACAAUAUCUUCGUUUCCGGAAUAUUCUUUACUUUGCCUUUUGACGAUUUCAUCUCCCACUAGAACCGAGAUCCGUCAUUUCCGAAUGAUCAUAAAUGGAGUACUUUAUGAAUAAUAUAUUCACUUAAAUACUUGAUCUUUUCACGUACUAUUUAUGUGACCCUACGGGUUCAGUCAAGAGUAAGUUGUGGAUUAAUAUUAUUAAUUCCACUUGAACUGAAGCGGCCUCUAGCUAGGCAUUCUGUUCACUGAUCUCACUGAAUACUGAACUGCAUUUAUUAGACUUAGCAUUAAAUGCAUACUUGGACCAAGGGCACUAUUUCAUUCAGUUUCCCACUUGUCCUUAGGGACAAGUGUGCAUUUCCUAAUUCCUUUGUCGCUUGAUGCCUGCUCAUGAACUUUAGGUAAGAGUAAUCAUCCUUAUUAUGUCCAAGGUAUUUCUCGGUUUCAUAGUUCAAUUGAUCAAAUAAACAGAUAAUCAUAGCCUAUGAUUCAUCUUUGCCCGGCCAUGCAUUUUUCCCUUUCUAGCUCUCCGAGUGGCCUUGUACAACUUUCGGCAUCUAAUCCCGAUUUAUGGGAGGACAAUCCAAUCUCGUGAUCUUGAGGUUAAACUUCGUUUGAUAGGUGAUUACCUAAGCGUUGCCGUUAUAGUCUCCUUUUACGGUCCGACGCUUGACAACGUCAAUGUAACCAGUUCUCAAACAAGUAAUCUCAAAUCACUCAGGUAUUGAGGAUUAAUGUCUAAUAAUGUAAUGAAAUUUACUUAUGACAGAUUUUCAUCUCUUAGAGUAAAUUUUCAUUGGUGUGUCUGAUACAAAUCUUCUCAAGUAAGUAUCUAUGCAAAUGAUUGCGACAUUUCCAUGUCCACAUAGUUCAAGAAACAUAACUACUAGUCAUCUUGCACUCUAGUCGUCUAACGUUUUCUAUGCGUCCACCUUUAUUGAAAACUUCCGACCAGGGACCAUUUUCAAAUUUUGACAUUCAAGUUAACUUGAUAGACAUUUCUUAGUCACAGGACUGGUCAUGGAAGUCCAUCUUGAAUAUAUUGUCAAAUUGAAAGGACUCAUCAUUUAAUACUAAACCAAGAUUAAAUGGAGUAUGAAAAUACAUUUCAUAUAUGAUAAAUGUUCAACCCCAGUGUUUUACAACCAUGGGCCUCGAACCCAUCUUUAAAACAAUUAAUGGAAUUCAAAACUAUGUUUGACUUCCAGUGCCACAAUGUGAGUGUUGUAUUUUACUUGUUUCAUAGGUUUAGUUAUCAUGUUUUUCCAAUCUUAAUAUCCUUUUUCAUCGAAUGUCUUUCGAGAUAGGAUGAUAAGGAUCUUUUGAGUUUGUUUAUUAUGUGAUCUAGCCUUUCU